rnacentral:rRNA from 1 species
AGUGAACGCUGGCGGUAGGCCUAACACAUGCAAGUCGAACGGCAGCACAGUAAGAGUUUGCUCUUACGGGUGGCGAGUGGCGGACGGGUGAGGAAUACAUCGGAAUCUACUUUUUCGUGGGGGAUAACGUAGGGAAACUUACGCUAAUACCGCAUACGACCUACGGGUGAAAGCAGGGGAUCUUCGGACCUUGCGCGAUUGAAUGCGCCGAUGUCGGAUUAGCUAGUUGGCGGGGUAAAGGCUCACCAAGGCGACGCUCUGUAGCUGGUCUGAGAGGAUGAUCAGCCACACUGGAACUGAGACACGGUCCAGACUCCUACGGGAGGCAGCAGUGGGGAAUAUUGGACAAUGGGCGCAAGCCUGAUCCAGCCAUACCGCGUGGGUGAAGAAGGCCUUCGGGUUGUAAAGCCCUUUUGUUGGGAAAGAAAAGCAGCAGGUUAAUACCCCGCUGUUCUGACGGUACCCAAAGAAUAAGCACCGGCUAACUUCGUG